GAUGAACGCUAGCUGGAGGCUUAAUACAUGCAAGUCGAGCGGGAUUGGGUAGCAAUACCCAUGAGAGCGGCGCACGGGUGAGUAGCGCGUACACGACCUACCUCUAACAGGGGGAUAGCCCUGGGAAGCUGGGAUUAAUACCGCAUAUAAUUCUGAAUAAUAAAGGUUUGGAAUGAAAGCUGAGGCGGUUAGAGAUGGGUGUGCGUCUGAUUAGCUAGUUGGUAGGGUAACGGCCUACCAAGGCGAUGAUCAGUAGGGGGCGUGAGAGCGUGGUCCCCCACACGGGUACUGAGACACGGACCCGACUCCUACGGGAGGCAGCAGUAAGGAAUAUUGGUCAAUGGACGAAAGCCUGAACCAGCCAUCCAGCGUGCAGGAAGAAGGCCCUAUGGGUUGUAAACUGCUUUUAUCAGGGAAGAAACCUCUGGAUUUACUCCGGAGCUGACGGUACCUGAAGAAUAAGCACCGGCUAACUACGUGCCAGCCGCCGCCGUAA
rnacentral:rRNA from 1 species